rnacentral:rRNA from 1 species
AAUUCGCCCUUAGAGUUUGAUCCUGGCUCAGGAUGAACGCUGGCGGCGUGCCUAAUACAUGCAAGUCGAACGAAUCUCUUUUAGAGAUGAGUGGCGAACGGGUGAGUAAUACAUAGGUAACCUGCCCCUGUGCGGGGGAUAACAGGAGGAAACUCCUGCUAAUACCGCAUAGCCAUGAGCACCGCAUGGAGCUCAUGCCAAAUAUCCUUUCGGGGAUAGCGCAGGGAUGGACCUAUGGCGCAUUAGCUGGUUGGCGGGGCAACGGCCCACCAAGGCAACGAUGCGUAGCCGGCCUGAGAGGGCGGACGGCCACAUUGGGACUGAGACACGGCCCAGACUCCUACGGGAGGCAGCAGUAGGGAAUUUUCGGCAAUGGGGGAAACCCUGACCGAGCAACGCCGCGUGAGCGAAGAAGGCCUUCGGGUCGUAAAGCUCUGUUGUAAAGGAAGAACGGCGCAUACAGGAAAUGGUAUGCGAGUGACGGUACUUUACCAGAAAGCCACGGCUAACUACGUGCCAGCAGCCGCGGUAAUACGUAGGUGGCGAGCGUUAUCCGGAAUCAUUGGGCGUAAAGAGGGAGCAGGCGGCCGCAAGGGUCUGUGGUGAAAGACCGAAGCUAAACUUCGGUAAGCCAUGGAAACCGGGCGGCUAGAGUGCGGAAGAGGAUCGUGGAAUUCCAUGUGUAGCGGUGAAAUGCGUAGAUAUAUGGAGGAACACCAGUGGCGAAGGCGACGGUCUGGGCCGCAACUGACGCUCAUUCCCGAAAGCGUGGGGAGCAAAUAGGAUUAGAUACCCUAGUAGUCCACGCCGUAAACGAUGGUCACUAAGUGUCGGGGGUCAAACCCCGGUGCUGCAGUCAACGCAAUAAGUGACCCGCCUGAGUAGUACGUUCGCAAGAAUGAAA